rnacentral:rRNA from 1 species
AUACGUAGGUGGCAAGCGUUGUCCGGAAUUAUUGGGCGUAAAGCGCAUGUAGGCGGUGCCUUAAGUCUGUCGUGAAACUGCGGGGCCUAACCCCGUAUGGCGAUGGAAACUGUGGCACUUGAGUGCAGGAGAGGAAAGGGGAACUCCCAGUGUAGCGGUGAAAUGCGUAGAUAUUGGGAAGAACACCGGUGGCGAAGGGGCCUUUCUGGACUGUGUCUGACGCUGGGAUGCGAAAGCCAGGGUGGCGAACGGGAUGAGAUACCCCGGUAGUCCUGGCCGUAAACGAUGGGUACUAGGUGUGGGAGGUAUCGACCCCUUCCGUGCCGGAGUUAACGCAAUAAGUACCCCGCCUGGGGAGUACGGCCGCAAGGCUUAAACUCAAAUGAAUUGACGGGG